rnacentral:rRNA from 1 species
GAUGAACGCUAGCGGCAGGCUUAACACAUGCAAGUCGAGGGGUAUUGGUUUUCGGACCAAGAGACCGGCGCACGGGUGCGUAACGCGUAUGCAAUCUACCUUUUGCAGAGGGAUAGCCCCAGAGAAAUUUGGAUUAAUACCUCAUAGUAUAGUACUUUGGCAUCAAGGAACUAUUAAAGUCACAACGGCAAAGAUGAGCAUGCGUCCCAUUAGCUAGUUGGUAAGGUAACGGCUUACCAAGGCUACGAUGGGUAGGGGUCCUGAGAGGGAGAUCCCCACACUGGUACUGAGACACGGACCAGACUCCUACGGGAGGCAGCAGUGAGGAAUAUUGGACAAUGGGCGCAAGCCUGAUCCAGCCAUGCCGCGUGCAGGAUGACGGUCCUAUGGAUUGUAAACUGCUUUAUACAGGAAGAAACACUCCGACGUGUCGGAGCUUGACGGUACUGUAAGAAUAAGGAUCGCUAACUCCGUGCA